ACAAGGUCUCCGUUGGUGAACCAGCGGAGGGAUCAUUACAGAGUGUAAAAACUCCCAACCCAUGUGAACUUUACCUUCCCCUCGGGCCCCUAAAAAGGCCCCUGGGCGUUGCUUCGGCCCCUGGCAACAGGGGUCGGAGGUAUCAAACUUUUAUUUUUAAAGUAUCUCUGAGGCCUAUUGGCAACUAUAACAACUUUCAACAACGGAUCUCUUGGCUCCAGCAUCGAUGAAGAACGCAGCGAAAUGCGAUAAGUAUUGUGAAUUGCAGAAUCCAGUGAAUCAUCGAAUCUUUGAACGCACAUUGCGCCCGCCGGAAUUCCGGCGGGCAUGCCUGUUCGAGCGUCAUUUCAACCCUCAAAUCCCCAGGAUUUGGUGUUGGGACGUCCGCGUCAGCGGGGGUCCUCAAAUCUAUAGGCGGUACCGCACGGCAACUGAACGCAGUAAUCUUUAUUCGUUUGGUGGGUCGGGCGGCUGCUUGCCUCUAAACCCUUCUUUCUAAGGUUGACCUCGGAUCAGGUAGGAAUACCCGCUGAACUUAAGCAUAUCAAUA
rnacentral:rRNA from 1 species